ensembl:snoRNA Gm24559 predicted gene, 24559
UUGCUCUGUAGUCCCCUUGGCCUUGACUCUGUGCUAGAAUAAAGUCUGUUCUUUUCCUCUCAUCGAAAGGAGUACUGUGUCCUUUUGUCCUUUUAAAUGUAUUCAGAAAAUCAACAUGCCA